rnacentral:rRNA from 1 species
UACGGAGGGGGCUAGCGUUGUUCGGAAUUACUGGGCGUAAAGCGCACGUAGGCGGCUUUGUAAGUUAGAGGUGAAAGCCCGGGGCUCAACUCCGGAAUUGCCUUUAAGACUGCAUCGCUAGAAUUGUGGAGAGGUAAGUGGAAUUCCGAGUGUAGAGGUGAAAUUCGUAGAUAUUCGGAAGAACACCAGUGGCGAAGGCGACUACCUGGACAAUUGCUGACGCUCAGGCACGAAAGCGUGGGGAGCAAAAGGG